rnacentral:rRNA from 1 species
GACGAACGCUGGCGGCGUGCUUAACACAUGCAAGUCGAACGGAAAGGCCCUGCUUUUGUGGGGUGCUCGAGUGGCGAACGGGUGAGUAACACGUGAGUAACCUGCCCUUGACUUUGGGAUAACUUCAGGAAACUGGGGCUAAUACCGGAUAGGAGCUCCUGCUGCAUGGUGGGGGUUGGAAAGUUUCGGCGGUUGGGGAUGGACUCGCGGCUUAUCAGCUUGUUGGUGGGGUAGAGGCUUACCAAGGCUUUGGCGGGUAGCCGGCCUGAGAGGGUGACCGGCCACAUUGGGACUGAGAUACGGCCCAGACUCCUACGGGAGGCAGCAGUGGGGAAUAUUGCACAAUGGGCGGAAGCCUGAUGCAGCAACGCCGCGUGCGGGAUGACGGCCUUCGGGUUGUAAACCGCUUUCGCCUGUGACGAAGCGUGAGUGACGGUAAUGGGUAAAGAAGCACCGGCUAACUACGUG